rnacentral:rRNA from 1 species
CAGAUGCGAAAGCGUGGGGAGCAAACAGGAUUAGAUACCCUGGUAGUCCACGCCGUAAACGAUGUCUACUUGGAGGUUGUGGCCUUGAGCCGUGGCUUUCGGAGCUAACGCGUUAAGUAGACCGCCUGGGGAGUAGCAAGAUUAAAACUCAAAUGAAUUGACGGGGGCCCGCACAAGCGGUGGAGCAUGUGGUUUAAUUCGAUGCAACGCGAAGAACCUACUCUUGACAUCCAGAGAACUUUCCAGAGAUGGAUUGGUGCCUUCGGGAACUCUGAGACAG